CUCCUGAUCAACAGAUCUUGAGAAAGCAAGGAUCUCUGGGGGCAGGGCAAAUGGGGGUUUAAAGUGUCUGUGGGAACAGGAAGAGGAGAAAGUGGGCACCGGGAGGACCUACUGAAGCACAGGGCACGGCAGCCCAGCCCCCAGGUUCUCCCGUUUCCCCUUCCUGCCCGGAAUCCUGGCUGCGGCAGCGCGGGGGGCCAACAACACCGCGCCCCCAGGGCCAUGCCUCAGGUCUGUUUGGUGACAGUCGUGCAUCUGUGCUUCCAGACCCCUCAGGCCUGACUCAAUAUUAAAUCAGGCCACUGGAUAUACUGACAGCUUCAACAGAGGCCCAAGCAAAGGGCCAAUCAGAAGUCAUUAAAGAACCAAAAUAGGGAAACUGAAUUCUCCUGUCACCUUCUCCAGCCUCUCCAGGCCUAGAAAGCUGUUUUACAGAGCAUUCAUUCAAAAAAGGAAAAAUAAAAAGCCUGCAAGGGUGAAUCUAGUCAGCCUUUGGGUGCCUGCAACAUCCAGGCUCAGGCUGAUAGGAAGGAGCCUUUGGAACUGGUCACAGAAACAAAAAGGAACAGAAUCUAAGGUGCUGUAUUGGGAGGUGACAAGGCCAAAAAAAAGA